rnacentral:rRNA from 1 species
GGGCCCGCACAAGCGGAGGAACAUGUGGUUUAAUUCGAUGAUACGCGAGGAACCUUACCUGGGCUUGAAUGGGAUCUGACGUAACCGGAAACGGUUAUUUCUUCGGACAGGUUUCAAGGUGCUGCAUGGUUGUCGUCAGCUCGUGCCGUGAGGUGUCGGGUUAAGUCCCAUAACGAGCGCAACCCUUACCGGUAGUUACCAGCAUGUAAUGAUGGGGACUCUACCGGGACUGCCACCGUAAGGUGUGAGGAAGGGGGGGAGUGACGUCAAAUCAGCACGGCCCUUAUGUCCAGGGCUACACACGUGUUACAAUGGCCGGUACAGCGGGAAGCUACUGUGUGAACAGAUGCGGAUCCCGAAAGCCGGUCCCAGUUCGGAUCGAAGUCUGCAACCCGACUUCGUGAAGCUGGAUUCGCUAGUAAUCGCGCAUCAGCCAUGGCG